rnacentral:rRNA from 1 species
UACGUAGGGGGCAAGCGUUGUCCGGAUUUAUUGGGCGUAAAGAGCUCGUAGGCGGUCUGUCGCGUCUGCUGUGAAAUCUGGGGGCUCAACCCCCAGCCUGCAGUGGGUACGGGCAGACUAGAGUGCGGUAGGGGAGAUUGGAACUCCUGGUGUAGCGGUGGAAUGCGCAGAUAUCAGGAGGAACACCGGUGGCGAAGGCGGGUCUCUGGGCAGUAACUGACGCUGAGGAGCGAAAGCGUGGGGAGCGAACAGG